rnacentral:rRNA from 1 species
AGUGGCGAACGGGUGAGUAACACGUGAGUAACCUGCCCUUAACUCUGGGAUAAGCCUGGGAAACUGGGUCUAAUACUGGAUAUUGACUUUUCCUCGCAUGGGGUUUGGUUGAAAGCUUUAGUGGUUUUGGAUGGACUCGCGGCCUAUCAGCUUGUUGGUGAGGUAAUGGCUCACCAAGGCGACGACGGGUAGCCGGCCUGAGAGGGUGACCGGCCACACUGGGACUGAGACACGGCCCAGACUCCUACGGGAGGCAGCAGUGGGGAAUAUUGCACAAUGGGCGAAAGCCUGAUGCAGCGACGCCGCGUGAGGGAUGACGGCCUUCGGGUUGUAAACCUCUUUCAGUAGGGAACAAGGCUACACGUUGUGUGGUUGAGGGUACUUGCAGAAGAAGCACCGGCUAACUACGUGCCAGCAGCCGCGGUAAUACGUAGGGUGCAAGCGUUAUCCGGAAUUAUUGGGCGUAAAGAGCUCGUAGGCGGUUUGUCGCGUCUGCCGUGAAAGUCCGGGGCUCAACCCCGGAUCUGCGGUGGGUACGGGCAGACUAGAGUGAUGUAGGGGAGACUGGAAUUCCUGGUGUAGCGGUGAAAUGCGCAGAUAUCAGGAGGAACACCGAUGGCGAAGGCAGGUCUCUGGGCAUUAACUGACGCUGAGGAGCGAAAGCAUGGGGAGCGAACAGGAUUAGAUACCCUGGUAGUCCAUGCCGUAAACGUUGGGCACUAGGUG